AUGGUUCAGAUUGGCUUUACCUGUAACCAACUCUGCAACUAUAAAUCAGGAUUUCUGCUCCAAUCUGAGGAAAGGGAUUCAUUUCUGCAAAAACUUCUCAGAGAAGCUUCAGGGUUCUCUCUAAAAUUCUCUGAAGCUUCAACGAUUCAUUCAGAAAAAAAUCCAAAAAAUAUUCACUCUCUUCUCUCAGAGUUUUCUCUAUUCUCUGCUUCAAUAUUCAUCAACCUGCUUCAGCAUCAUCUUCACUUCUCAAUCACGAUUCAUUCUAUGCAAAUUUCAGAAAUCUUCCUCUAA